GACGAACGCUGGCGGCGUGCUUAACACAUGCAAGUCGAACGGAAAGGCCCUGCUUUUGUGGGGUGCCCGAGUGGCGAACGGGUGAGUAACACGUGAGUAACCUGCCCUUGACUUUCGGAUAACUUCAGGAAAGUGGGGCUAAUACCGGAUAGGAGCUCCUGCUGCAGGGUGGGGAUUGGAAAGUUUCGGCGGGAGGGGAUGGACGCGCGGCUUAUGAGCUUGUUGGUGGGGUGGUGGCUUACCAAGGCUGUGACGGGUAGCCGGCAUGGGAGGGGGACCGGGCACAAUGGGACUAAGAUACGGCCCAGAGGGCAACGGGAGGCAGCGGUGGGGAAUAUGGCACAAUGGGCGGGAGCCUGAUGCAGAGACGUCGCGGGCGGGAUGACGGCCUUCGGGUUGUAAACCGCUUUCGCCUGUGACGAAGCGUGAGUGACGGUAAUGGGUAAAGAAGCACCGGCUAACUACGUG
rnacentral:rRNA from 1 species